rnacentral:tRNA from 1 species
GCGCUCGUAGCUCAGCUGGAUAGAGCAACGGCCUUCUAAGCCGUAGGUCGCAGGUUCAAGUCCUGCCGGGCGCG